rnacentral:misc_RNA from 1 species
CCGAAGCUGUUGGUAAGUGUCCCUAGUCGCAUCUAUGUUGGUCGGAACUCCGCCCCCAUAAUCGGUGUCGGCCGCGCAUGGCACCGGUCGGGCUUGAAACGACAAUCAAGCCUGUCGAUGACUGGAUACCUAUCGUAGUGUUUUUUUUCAAAAACNAACUACGAUAGGUAUCUAGCCAUCGAUAUGCGUGGGGCGGUGGGUAUCGUUGCUUCAAAUCUUGCGUAUUUUCUAGACGAGAGGUAAUUCGGUUCUCAUUCCUCGCUAGUAACCCGACUUUAUUGCCUUGACGGUGUUUACCUUGGACUUAUGUCGGUCGAGAUUUGCCUCGGCCUGACUGCGAAGUAUGCAUUUUCUUAAGCGAUAAGGGCCGAUGUCGGUUGAUCUUUGCUCCGGCCUAGACUCCUUAACGCAGGCAAACCGUGAACGAGCUAUGUUGGCCGAGCUUUGCUCGUCCUGACUGCUAGUUGCACGGGUGUUGGUUUACUCGAGGCAUGUUUAGCGAACAAACUGAGCUCUACGUAAAUACACAAGCAAGAGAUGAAGCAUUGUUCCUCACCGUUAGGUUUCCAGAUUCCGUAUCGUUCGGUGCAUUCUGGGGCUGUUUUGGCUUUUGGUUGCUUGCUUGGCCUUCGAGCUAAGCGGGUGGCUACUAAGUCGAGUGGCUUCGGGGAUGUCUACCGUAAAGGUGCAUGAGUGGUGUUUGGUUUGUUACGUGUGGUUGGCUGCGGCGCUUGCAACAACUUCCACGCUCUCAUACCUCUUCAGUAAUGCGACAAGGCUUGUAUCGCCUUGAGCGCCAGGUGGGUUUUCUGUGCUAAAUACCUAAUUGACGGUAUCGGUUGGAUAGAUCAAAAGUUACUUUUCGCCUUGCGUUGCGUUUGUGGCGUGAGGUGAGCCCGAAAGCGUUCUCUUUGAUCCACCUUGUCUAAGAACUAGCUUUGACGUUGUGGCACAUUGAGUAUCAGCUUGGUUUCUCGUAUACAGAACAUAAGUGUGGGCAUGGAUCUAACGAUUCGUUUUUGCUCUUGUUUUACAGCUUUUCGCUUCUUUAAAACGACU